rnacentral:lncRNA from 1 species
AUCAGGGGAUAAAGAAUUCGAGGUGUACGCGACGAACGGAAAACCCACCGGGGUCGAUGGGUUUUUUUCGUUUCGCACACAAGCCGUAUUCCUCAAUUCUUAUUGUCUGUACCACUUUAUAGAGCCAAACUGUAUUCGUUUGUCAUCAACAAUGCAUCCAACACCAGCCGCAGACUGUGCGAGGAGGGAUUGAUUUCGAACUUAGCUGGCAGACCUCACUAGAAUGACUGUCUUCUCCCGGUUCGGUUGCCUUGGGAACCCCACUCAAAUGCUACAUGAGCUUGGUCGGGCAGUGGAGCGUGCGCGGCAUUGGAAGUCCACUUUCAAGCGGCAAUUCUUCCUCGCGGCAGUUUCGCUGGGGAAGUGUGAGCCCGGCAGCCAGCUGGUGGUCUACAAGGAUGGCGUGGAGUACACCACACUCGGGGAAAGCCGCUCAUCCGAAUCUGGUCCGAAGUUGGUCCGAAGAUCUGUCCAAAACCUGAUCCGAAGCCUGGUCCGAAAGACCAUCCGAAGCUGGUCCGAGUUCCUGUCCGAAAGACCCCACCCCUGUCCGAAGUUUUUGUCUCCGAAGCUGGUCCGAAGUCGGUCCGAAUCUGGUCCGAAUAGCAUCCGAAUUACAAGUAUUUCGGACACUUUUGUCGGAUGCCAAGAUUCGGACGCAAUGUUCGGACCAGACCGGCCAUCCGAAUGGCAAUUCGGACGCGCCCAGCCCCAUUUCGGACACGCCCAGCUGUUGAUUCAGACGCGCCCAGCCCCAUUUUGGACACGCCCAGCUGUUGAUUCGGACGCACCCAGCCCCAUUUCGGACAUGCCCAAGCGUCAAUUUGGACACGCCCAACACCAUUUUGGACGCCACCACCACCCGCUGCUGCCCAGUGCCCCGCCUGCUGCGCUUUUGUGGUGUCUACAGACACCGUUGCAUGUCCUGUCAUGCCCUUGUCAUGUAGCAGCGGCUCCCCUGCCCUUGUUCAACCCUGUACACAUACCCUUUUUGCUUGCUCCUGGGUCCCUUUGGCUACCUCGUUGCGCUCCUCGGCCCCACACAUGCGCCUCCAUGUUUGCGCACAUCCCUAUGGCACCCAAAUGGUGGUAAGGAUCCAAAAACGGGGGUGACGAUCCCCGGACAGGGGGUAACGAUUGUUUCGGGCCCGCACGGCCUGGCACGCCCAGGACGCAAGCCAAGUGGUGCUGUGGUCACAUCUUAGCUACUUGUCAUGCAUACGCACAUUGCAGACUGGGCGGAGUGCCUUGCGUCUCCGACAAGUGAACAUGCCGACAUUCUAGUCUGCAAAGUGCGUAUUGUAGUGACAGUUUGUGUUAAAACAGUCUAUAAUGUGAAGCCUUAAACUUAUGUAGUCUUUGCGCUCGUGAACGAGGAAGUCUGGGGGCUGUAGGCCGACUGUGUGACAUUGUGACAGGGACCCUUGGGCGUGGUAACGACCCUAAGCCAGGGGUAACGGGGUUCCUGCAUGGGGUUCUCGCGGGCCUGACUUAACAAGCAGCAUAGAGCGGCCCCUGAUACUAAUACACAUAUACUGAUAUAGUACCAUACAUAUACUGAUACACUGCACUUCAUGCCGGUGCCGCUGCACUUCUGUUCCUCUCCCCCACUUUGCUCUCUCGCGCUUGCUACUUCUCUUUGUAACACAAAUUUAUGCUAGCUCAAAUGUCAGUAGAACAAGAGCUGGCGGCAGACGCUGCUUGGCUGGCUUGGGACGCGAGUCCUCACGCUGCUGACUGCUCGUUGACCGGCUUGGCAACGCUGCUCACACGUCAGCUGCAGCCAGCUAUUACUUGAGAGAAACGACUAUGCCUCAUAAUCUAUCAGCUGCGCUUCAAAUGUCCGACCGAGAAGUCUCGGCGGUCGCCGGCGUCAACAACGCCAUUCAACAUCGUGUUCUGUCAACAUCACCCUCGCCCCGCACGCCAGAGUCCGCAGGUUAGUCUGCAGGUUAGUCCGCAGGUUGAAUGACGAUGGGAUGCGUUGAACCUAGUGGUACCUCGCAAGCCAGUGUGCAUGGUUCAUCUUCUCGCGCUGUGUUGGGUUGUUUGGUGGAGCCCCCGCCUACAACUAGUGACUGUCUGCUGCCUCCCUUACCAGCGCUCGCUGUAAGGUGUUUUUAUGGCUCCCUUGCCACGGUGCCUUGUGUCUCACAUACCACCCCGCCCCCCUCCGCACGCACACACCCUGCCCCGCGACAGCUUGCUGCCCAACCCCUGUUGUACCCUAUGGACCGUAUGGUUGGCUGGACUGCCCCUACACCUCCAGCAUUGUGCUCAUCAACGGUGAGUGUCCGUGACACGUGUGGGCGCGCACACAUGCACAUGUGCACACAGACACGCCUUGUGUGGUAGGCCCCGUGCACUGCCAAGCACUCUGUCCAUGGCUGGCCUUGACAUGCAUUGGCACCUACCCGUCUUGUGGCAGACGAUUAACUGGGUGUGUCUAUGUGUGUGCACGCAUGCAUGCAGUCGCUGCCGGUGGAAGCAAAACUACAGGAGCCAGCGUGACACCAGCUGUCUGGCGCUAGAGAUGGAGGCGGGCGCGGCGGCGCCAGUGGCAUAGUUUGGCAUGGUAGCUGUGGUGGCGGCGGGCGUCAAGGUGGUGGGUCAGAGACGUUGUGCCCAGCAGACAUGCAAGUGGUUGCUGCCAGUGGCUAGUUGCACGUUCACAUGCAGACAUGACUAGGCGUAUUGUUGCAUGUACAUAUGGACUUGCGGUAGUGUUGCAUAAGUGUUGCAUGAGCAUCUGCACUUGUCGUGCUAUCAAGCCUUGACAGAUGGCUAGCAUGUGGAGUAGCGGUAGGACUACAUAGUUCUUACGUUAGUACUGAGGUAGGCCUUCAGCAAAGCACAAGGCUGCCAUGUAACGGGCGUCAAAGUGAUGGUUACUGGUGUGCCUUGUAGACCGUGACAAGGCUGUUACCAUGGCUGGUUAAGAUGGUAAGCAGAUCGUAGUGAGAUCGUAACGAUGCCGGAGGGGUAACGAUCUACGACCUAGGUAACAGCGAUCGUAACGAUCGUUUGGGUGCCAUAGGGCAUAUCACCUGCAUACACAGCACCACCGGCGUUGCAAGAGGCAUGGUGACAAGCCUUUCCCCGAGAUACAUGCUGUAUCUCACAUGCUGUAUACAUGCCCUGUCCGUUGAGCUGCCCACUGCACACAUGUCUUGGUGCUCCUUUUCAUGUGGAUUGCAUCACGAAAUCUGACUUACCACCAAAAUGCAAAAGCGCCAUUGCCAGCAGCACAUGCACCGAUGAGACGAAGGUUGACAUGAGAAUAAGGCGGCCGGGGAAUUGCAAGCAGAUAUUUGCAUGCAUAAGCAAUUGCAAACUAUUAGGACCCCGUGCGAAAGCGCAGGCAGGGCAGACGAAUGGUUGUUGACCGCGACAGGAAAACACUGCUGUAGACGUUUUGAGCUGAUACAAUGCGAGUUCUCAGUCAGAAACUUACAUUCUUGGGCCUUGAGCCUGUUUGGCCUUGAAUUUUGUGCAGGUCGGCGAAGGUCAGCGACAAAGGCCUCCACUUUGACCAAGUUUGUAGCACCUCCGCCAACCCCUCAGGCAUGCUCGCAAGCUUGUGUCUAACAUAGUUGCUAUGAAAUAGCAUCGUGCAGUAUCAUAGAGGGUUUGAGAACGUGGAACACUGCAUGCCGAUAUCGCUUGCAACAGAGAUAGGCUGUAACAGGCUAGCGAUACAUUUAACAACUUGUUAGUAUUAAAUCUGUAGUGUAUAGUAUGAGUCUUAUAAGAGAUCAUACUAUUAAGUUGAGAAGCUGAAUGUCGGGUCUCCCCAUGCAGCAGCGCUGCCCCAUUGCGCAUGCCAGCUCGCCUCCCUUCUGGUAAUGCCAUUGCUAGGACGCUUAAUCCAAUGUAUGCGGCUGCGUCGGAUGCGGGCAUGGGAUGCAUGUGCCUGCCGCUCAGAUGGGGCCACACAAGCAGGCCACGCCCGGAAACAAGGUUUCCCACAGUGCAUGCACACAGAACACACCCCGUUGGGCUGCCCGCGUGGAGACACACGCAGUUGGGCAUUGCGCUGUGUUGGGCCAAGCGAUGGGCGCUGGUUGCGUCGGAUGCGGGCAUGGGAUGCAUGUGCCUGCCGCGCAGAUGGGGCCACACAAGCAGGCCACGCCCGGAAACACAGUUUCCCACAGUGCACGCACACAGAAGACACCCCGUUGGGCUGCCCGCGUGGAGACACACGCAGUUGGGCAUUGCGCUGUGUUGGGCCAAGUGACAAACAACAAGCACACGCCCACGCCCACAGCCUUGCCCUUGCUCACACCCUUGCACUUGCCCCUGCCCCUGUACACGCAAACGCGCACGCAUGCACGCAAGCACGCAUGCACGCACGCACACAGGUGCACACCCACGCGCACGCACACGCACACGCGCCCGCACAAGCGUGCACACACACCCACAAAUGCACAAGCUCAUGCUCACGUACGCACAUACGCGCACCUCGUGUACACACGAGCACACGCAUACACAAGCCCACAUAUGCACACACACACACUGUCCUACACGUAAUGUUUUCCUUGUGCUCUUUAACACACACACACACACACACACACACACACAUGCGCACACACACACACACACACACACACACACACACACACACACACACACACACACACACACACACACACACACACACACACACACACACACACACACACACACGCCUUUGGCAGAAGGUACGCUGGGAACGGUGACACUUUGAGACGCUGUGGCGGUUGGCCAUUGACGCAGUGCCGCUGCCGGGAAACUCGCAUACGCCGUUGGCUCGCCGUGAGCCAUGCGGCUGUGGGCAGCACGGCCAUGGGGGCGCCGCGGCGGAGGCACACGCCGCCGCCGCGCCCACGCCAUGGCAGCACCACUUCUGGGAUUGCGCGGUGGCGAAGGCCGUUGUGGCGCAGAUCAACGCACGCAACCCCGGUCCGGCUCCCAUCAGCCAAGCCCAGCUGUGGCUGGUCCAGGCGCCGCCGGGUUUUCAGCAGUGUGUUUGGGACGUGGUGGUGAUGGACACGGCUGGGAGUGGAAUGCGUCUUUAAUGUCUACUAUCAAUAGCUACUCGGCAUUAGGUGAGGUGUGAGCAUCAGGGGAUAAAGAAUUCGAGGUGUACGCGACGAACGGAAAACCCACCGGGGUCGAUGGGUUUUUUUUCGUUUCGCACACAAGCCGUAUUCCUCAAUUCUUAUUGUCUGUACCACUUUAUAGAGCCAAACUGUAUUCGUUUGUCAUCAACAAUGCAUCCAACACCAGCCGCAGACUGUGCGAGGAGGGAUUGAUUUCGAACUUAGCUGGCAGACCUCACUAGAAUGACUGUCUUCUCC